rnacentral:rRNA from 1 species
AUUGAACGCUGGCGGCAGGCCUAACACAUGCAAGUCGAGCGGAGCGGCGGACGGGUGAGUAAUGUCUGGGAAACCGCCUGAUGGAGGGGGAUAACGUCCGGAAACGGGCGCUAAUACCGCAUACUAUCAGAUUAGCCUAGGUGGGAUUAGCUAGUUGGUGGGGUAAAGGCCUACCAGGGCGACGAUCCGUAACUGGUCUGAGAGGAUGAUCAGUCACACUGGAACUGAGACACGGCCCAGACUCCUACGGGAGGCAGCAGUGGGGAAUAUUGGACAAUGGGCGAAAGCCUGAUGCAGCCAUGCCGCGUGUGUGAAGAAGGUCUUCGGAUUGUAAAGCCCUUUAAGUUGGGAGGCGUUACCAACAGAGUAAGCAACGGCUAACUUCGUGCCAGCAGCCGCGGUAAUUC